GGCGGCUUUAGCGCGGUGGUCCCACCUGACCCCAUGCCGAACUCAGAAGUGAAACGCCGUAGCGCCGAUGGUAGUGUGGGGCCUCCCCAUGCGAGAGUAGGGAACUGCCAG
rnacentral:rRNA from 1 species